AGAGUUUGAUCAUGGCUCAGAUUGAACGCUGGCGGCAGGCCUAACACAUGCAAGUCGAACGGUAACAGGAAGCAGCUUGCUGCUUCGCUGACGAGUGGCGGACGGGUGAGUAAUGUCUGGGAAACUGCCUGAUGGAGGGGGAUAACUACUGGAAACGGUGGCUAAUACCGCAUAACGUCGCAAGACCAAAGAGGGGGACCUUCGGGCCUCUUGCCAUCAGAUGUGCCCAGAUGGGAUUAGCUAGUUGGUGAGGUAACGGCUCACCAAGGCGACGAUCCCUAGCUGGUCUGAGAGGAUGACCAGCCACACUGGAACUGAGACACGGUCCAGACUCCUACGGGAGGCAGCAGUGGGGAAUAUUGCACAAUGGGCGCAAGCCUGAUGCAGCCAUGCCGCGUGUAUGAAGAAGGCCUUCGGGUUGUAAAGUACUUUCAGCGGGGAGGAAGGUGUUGUGGUUAAUAACCGCAGCAAUUGACGUUACCCGCAGAAGAAGCACCGGCUAACUCCGUGCCAGCAGCCGCGGUAAUACGGAGGGUGCAAGCGUUAAUCGGAAUUACUGGGCGUAAAGCGCACGCAGGCGGUCUGUCAAGUCGGAUGUGAAAUCCCCGGGCUCAACCUGGGAACUGCAUUCGAAACUGGCAGGCUUGAGUCUUGUAGAGGGGGGUAGAAUUCCAGGUGUAGCGGUGAAAUGCGUAGAGAUCUGGAGGAAUACCGGUGGCGAAGGCGGCCCCCUGGACAAAGACUGACGCUCAGGUGCGAAAGCGUGGGGAGCAAACAGGAUUAGAUACCCUGGUAGUCCACGCCGUAAACGAUGUCUACUUGGAGGUUGUGCCCUUGAGGCGUGGCUUCCGGAGCUAACGCGUUAAGUAGACCGCCUGGGGAGUACGGCCGCAAGGUUAAAACUCAAAUGAAUUGACGGGGGCCCGCACAAGCGGUGGAGCAUGUGGUUUAAUUCGAUGCAACGCGAAGAACCUUACCUGGUCUUGACAUCCACGGAAGUUUUCAGAGAUGAGAAUGUGCCUUCGGGAACCGUGAGACAGGUGCUGCAUGGCUGUCGUCAGCUCGUGUUGUGAAAUGUUGGGUUAAGUCCCGCAACGAGCGCAACCCUUAUCCUUUGUUGCCAGCGGUCCGGCCGGGAACUCAAAGGAGACUGCCAGUGAUAAACUGGAGGAAGGUGGGGAUGACGUCAAGUCAUCAUGGCCCUUACGACCAGGGCUACACACGUGCUACAAUGGCGCAUACAAAGAGAAGCGACCUCGCGAGAGCAAGCGGACCUCAUAAAGUGCGUCGUAGUCCGGAUUGGAGUCUGCAACUCGACUCCAUGAAGUCGGAAUCGCUAGUAAUCGUGGAUCAGAAUGCCACGGUGAAUACGUUCCCGGGCCUUGUACACACCGCCCGUCACACCAUGGGAGUGGGUUGCAAAAGAAGUAGGUAGCUUAACCUUCGGGAGGGCGCUUACCACUUUGUGAUUCAUGACUGGGGUGAAGUCGUAACAAGGUAACCGUAGGGGAACCUGCGGUUGGAUCACCU
rnacentral:rRNA from 1 species